rnacentral:rRNA from 1 species
UGAGGAAUAUUGGUCAAUGGGCGGGAGCCUGAACCAGCCAAGCCGCGUGAGGGAAGAAGGCCCUAUGGGUCGUAAACCUCUCUUGUCAGGGAACAAAAGCGAGUAUGUAUACUAGUCUGAGUGUACCUGAAGAAAAAGCAUCGGCUAACUCCGUGCCAGCAGCCGCGGUAAUACGGAGGAUGCGAGCGUUAUCCGGAUUUAUUGGGUUUAAAGGGUGCGUAGGCGGCGGUGCAAGUCAGCGGUAAAAGCCCGGGGCUCAACCCCGGCGAGCCGUUGAAACUGCAGUGCUAGAGAAGGCGAGAGGUACGCGGAAUGCGCAGUGUAGCGGUGAAAUGCUUAGAUAUUGCGCAGAACUCCGAUUGCGAAGGCAGCGUACUGGCGCCUGACUGACGCUGAGGCACGAAAGCGUGGGGAUCGAACAGGAUUAGAUACC